rnacentral:rRNA from 1 species
UACGGGGGGGGCAAGCGUUGUUCGGAAUUACUGGGCGUAAAGGGCCAGUAGGCGGCCAACUAAGUCGGACGUGAAAUCCCCAGGCUCAACCUGGGAACUGCGUCCGAUACUGGAUGGCUUGAAUUCGGGAGAGGGAUGCAGAAUUCCAGGUGUAGCGGUGAAAUGCGUAGAUAUCUGGAGGAACACCGGUGGCGAAGGCGGCAUCCUGGACCGGCAUUGACGCUGAGGAGCGAAAGCCAGGGGAGCAAACGGG